UGCAUUUACUACUGUAAGUCGCUCUGGAUUAGAGCGUCUACUAAAUGAUUAAAA
rfam:Salmo salar isolate Sally breed double haploid chromosome ssa05, whole genome shotgun sequence.